UCGGCCCCGGUUCACGGACACGCAUCCCGUGCGUCCGACCCGGUGCC
rfam:Streptomyces sp. CB01580 scaffold22, whole genome shotgun sequence.